rnacentral:tRNA from 1 species
UGGGGAUAUAGCUCAGUUGGUAGAAUGCUUGCCUCACGUGCACAAGUCCCUGAGUUCAAUCCUCAGCACAA